GCAUAAUCAUUAGUCUUUUAAUUGAAGGCUAGAAUGAAUGGCGUCACGACGUAUUUACUGUCUCAGAAAAUUUAUUUAAAAUUUAAUUUUUAAGUCAAAAAGCUUAAAUAUUAUUAGAAGACGAGAAGACCCUAUAGAUCUUUAUAAAAAUUUAAUUAAUAAAAUUUUAAAUUCUUUAUUAGUUAAAAUUUAUUUUGUUGGGGUGACAAGAAAAUAAAAAUAACUUUUCUUAAAUUAACAUAAAUAUAUGAAUUUAUGAACCGUUAUUAAUGAGUAUUAGACUAAGGUACCUUAGGGAUAACAGCGUAAUUCUUUUUAAGAGUUCUUAUCGACAAAAGAGUUUGCGACCUCGAUGUUGGACUAAGAAAAUACUUGGGUGUAGAAGUUCAAGUGUUAGGUCUGUUCGACCUUUAAAUUCUUACAU
rnacentral:rRNA from 1 species